UGAGGAAGAACAGCAGGAGGCUUUUCAAUCAAGCUAAACGAACAGGUCUUUGGCAACCAUACAAAGACGCACUCAAAGUUUUCAAGAAGGCCAUAAAGAGGGCGAAACGCGAAUCUUGGCAAAACUUCUGCGACAACAUAGAAGAGAACUCUGAAGCCAACAGGCUGAGGAAAGUUCUCUCAAAAUCUUCUUCAAGUAUGAACUCUAUCCAGAAGCCUAACGGUGACUGGAGGACAUCAUGUAGCGAAAUGCUGGAGAUCCUUAUGAGCACUCACUUCCCGGGCUGCUCAGAUGACACCCCCGAUUUUUCGCCCGGUCCUAGGACCUACUUGUCUCUGGGUGAUACCGUUGGGGACAUCGUAAGUGAGGAGAGGGUGGAAUGGGCUUUAAUGUCCUUUCAGCCCUACAAAUCUCCUGGCCUUGACGGAAUCUUUCCCGCUCAACUACA